rnacentral:sRNA from 1 species
UUUGGGUGAGAGUUGUCUGAAUGAUUUUGUGGACAGGUGUUUCAUCUUGCCUUAAAAUCAGCAUAAACAGGAUCUGGAGUACUGAUAGAGAGCUGGGGUGGUUUUAAGUUGAUGAUUGAUUGUUCUCAGGCUCAUUUUCUGAAAUAAUGAGGCAGUGCUGUAGUUUUGGAUUCCUUGACUACUUCAUACAAAACAGUCAAUGUUGUUCAAUUUGAACCCAAUAAGGGAGCAAUUGGUAAGGCGUAUAAGAAGGAUGCAAAACUGGUGAUGGAAUAUCUUGCCAUUUGUGAUGAGUGUUACAUUACAGAAAUGGAGAUGCUGCUGAAUGAGAAAGGGGAAUUCACAAUUGAAACUGAAGGGAAAACAUUUCAGUUAACAAAAGACAUGGUCAAUGUGAAGAGAUUCCAGAAAACACUAUAUGUGGAAGAAGUUGUUCCGAAUGUAAUUGAACCCUCCUUUGGCCUGGGUA